rnacentral:rRNA from 1 species
CAGGUAAAAGACGGUAGUUACCGCCUACGGCGGCACAAGUAGAAGGCCUUCGGUGCCUUGGCGGGGAGGACGCAAUAUUUUGCCUGGGGGCUCGGGCGAAUCAGGUGGUGGUGGAGAGAGGGAGGGAGUGACUUGGAGGACAUCGUCGUCUUUCUGGUCUCCACCAGCAGAAGAAGAAGAGGCCGUUGGUACCAGCGGCGGUGACGGCGCAACUAAGAAUUCGGUGGUGUCGGAAGGGUGAGACAAGAGAGGUGGUCGUCUGAGGACCUCGAGAGUCCUUAGGCAAAGGGAAUAGUUAAGGUGGCCUCUACCGGGCACCCGUUUUGUGGGUUAAACGGAGGCGGCCUCGGGAAGCCGGCUCGAGCGGCGACCGCUGAGGGAGGUGAGGCCGCUGGUUCCUCCCAUGGGGGCACAAGAGGAGCUUGAGGACUCAAGCACCUACCGGAGCUAAAAGGUUUGCCUCGACGGUUAGCGGCCGCUCGUAGUGGCCUCACGGUGGAGACAAGCCGGCGUCCUCUGCCGUGCGCGCACCUGACCAGUUUGGACUGGUCACCCGGUCCCCCGGGUGAUAGUCACUGGGUCGCACCACGGUCGAGUAAAAUUCACCUCUACAAAAGGACUUUCAUGCAGAGGAGGAGGCCUUUCGCAUAAGGUCCUUUCUGCGGAAGCUGCAGCGUUGGGAGGGUGCGUCGGUUUGAUGACCCGAGCCGGGUCAUCGCGAUCCGCCGAUAUGACACGGGUCCCGCGCAAAGACAAGUCGGGUAGUGUCUUUACCUCCCCUCUAUAUUAAAGGUUUCAAAACCUCACGUGGAUUAGAAAGACGUACGAGUUCUAGUACUGAGUCUCCGCUCUUUAUACUUCUGUGGGGCGUUGGAUCCUAAGCCUCUAUCGUCGGUACACUCUAUCCUGAAUAGGUCCAGUCGACAAGGGCACCCUUACCUCAGGGUAGUUGUAACCUCUAGCUGCUCAGCGAAGACAGUAGGUGGUGAUCUCUAGGAACAAUAUAAGUAACCUGGAAACACCAGAACAUAGGUUAAAGAACAUUAACGAACCUUAAGAUAUAGUUCCUUUACAGGUGGUCGUUGUCAUUAGGACCCCGACCACUACUGUGUUCCCAGCAACAGCCACAGUUUUGGCCACCUAGAGCCCAUGCCCCAGGGCUUACACGCAGAUUCCACCUACCAUUGUCCUCCGCCCCCUGUGCUACAAAUGGGACCAAGCCCGGGAGAGCUACCUCCAUUAUGGGAUGAAGGACGAACUAACUAGAACUAAUAUACUCAUAAUUUCUCAACUAGAUGGUACUCUAGCAUCUCCGAUUUGGGAUCUUCGAUCGGAUACCAUACUAACAACAACCAGGAUGCCUGAUUUGGGAGGCCAAAUAUAUCUGUGGCCUCCUCCGAUCCCAAUGUGUCUCAGCCAAUGUUCCCUCCUCUAGAUGUAUAGACAUAACGGUUCGAACGGAAGGUGCGGUUCCUCUCAGGGUAGGCCUGUGCCCAGCUUCAGAAGUUAGAACAUAGAAGUAUCAGGUCGUCAGGCCGAUUUCAUAUAUCAGGCCGACAGGCUCCUGGGGGAUUAGGUCCUGAGGGAGUCAUCGGGGACUUGGUCAGAAGUUACUGCUACUCAGGCCGCGCGUCUAACAGAAGCCGUAACGUUCCGCCCAAGAAGGAGGCUUAUGAGGUAUCUUCUAAAACUUGUGUUCCUAUCACAGGCCGAGACGUUUUGUUUAAGGUGUAUGGUAGCAUCUCUCUUAUUAUAAAGGUGUUUAGAUUAGACGACUGUUGAAAAAUAUUGCGCUGUAGUGUGGUACCGGACCAUUAAUAGGCUUGGCAAAGAGGGUCGGACGGUGACGUGCAAAGCGCUCCGCCAAAAUAACCGUGCAGAACAGCUUCGUCUCUAGCACAGGGGGAAUAAUGCCCUAAGAGUAGUUAUGCCCACACCCAUUGGGUUAGCACGGGCAACCAUACUGAGGAGCUAAAAUCCGUUCAAGGUUUGCCUGUGAGCCUCCUGCGAACUAUAAGUGGGAGAAAUAUUUCUCCAGUUCCGGACAGGAAAAGAAGAGCGUGAGUUAGCUUGGGAAGGGGGUGGAACUCAAGGUUGUGGGUUCCGAGUCCUAUACGUGAAACCUGGAGUUUAGUACAGGCCUAGGUUGGAAGUACCAGCCACCUACGGGAGGAGACAGUGUCUCCUCCUGUAGUUCUUCGAUUCUUUUCGGUCCAUAGACUGGCGGCUUUAGAGUGUGUCCGAUGGACGAGCUCCCGUCCAGUAAGGGUGAGGGCUUGAGCCGCUCUCGCAGCAUAAGCAGAGGGUGAAGGAGGCUCCCGAUCCGGAAUCAGAUCUAGGGAAACAAUCCCCCGAGUACAAAAUAAUGCCCGACCUAAAGGUACUGGACCGGGGCCUAAGGUAGGAAGUGUAGAGCAGCAAGUAGCAGCACACACUCCGGAAGGAGGUGCAGUGGGGUGUGAAGCCGAAUACCGAGUUCUGAAAAUUACACCUCGGCUUCUACUAAUUACCCGCUGUGCGUCUUACGCCUCCACGGUAUUACUCGUUUUCGCGGCUACAAGGUACCGGUUUCCCAAGGAAGGGCCUCCACAGGCCGAAUACCGUUGCCCUCACCAAAAUGUAGUGUCGAGGGGCGCCAUGAUUCACCCAUCGGCGGGGACGGAAGGCGAGCCCAAGGGGCGGUAUU